GGGUGUGAUCACACUAGCACUAAAGAAUCUGAUCCCAUAAGAACUUCGAAGUUAAGCGUGCAUUGGCGAGAGUAGUACUAGCAUGGGUGACCCCUUGGGAAGUCCUCAUGUUGUACUCU
rnacentral:rRNA from 15 species